CUACACUUAUGCGAUCGUCGGCAGCGUCAGAUGUGUAUAAGAGACAGCUGCGGGGAACUGCUAAAAGGUCUUGAUCCGCAGAAAUCCGAAUGGGGAAACCCUAUCAAGUUAAAACUUGAUAACUCACAAGUGAAUACAUAGCUUGUGUAGAGGAAAGCCUGUGAACUGAAACAUCUUAGUAACAGGACGAAGAGAAAAUAACCCAAUGAUUCCGAGAGUAGCGGCGAGCGAAAUUGGAAGAGCCUAAAUUGUGUGUACGUGAUAGCCUGCAAGCGUUGUGCACAUGAGGUUGUGGGACUUGCAUCAUAUUUUGCAGAAUAUGGAUUGAGUUACAAAAUUAUUUAUUAGUUAAAGUCAACUGGGAAGUUGCGCCAUAGAGAGUGAUAGCCUCGUAAACGACAAUAAAUAAUCUCAAGUAAGUAUCCCGAGUAAGGCGGGGCACGUGAAACCCUGUCUGAAUCCACCGGGACCAUCCGGUAAGGCUAAAUACUAGUCAGUGACCGAUAGUGAACGAGUACAGUGAUGGAAAGGCGAAAAGAACAGUGAGAAGCUGAGUGAAAUAGACCCUGAAACCGUUAGCUUACAACCAGUCAGAGCACAAUUAAUUGUGUGAUGGCGUGCCUGUUGAAGAAUGAGCCGGCGAGUUAUUUUUUGUUGCGAGGUUAAGGAGAUCAUAUCCGGAGCCACAGGGAAACCGAGUCUGAAUAGGGCGUUAAGUAACAGGAAAUAGACCCGAACCUUGGUGAUCUAACCUUGACCAGGAUGAAGCGUGGGUAACACUACGUGGAGGUCCGAACCAACCGAUGUUGAAAAAUCGGUGGAUGAGUUGAGGUUAGGGGUGAAAUGCCAAUCGAACCAAGAGCUAGCUGGUUCUCCCCGAAAUGCGUUUAGGCACAGCGUUGGAUUUAUCUUGCAGGAGGUAGAGCACUGGUUUUGUGCGGGCGUCGAAAUGAUGUACCAAACAAUGUCAAACUCCGAAUACCUGUAAUGUCAUUAUCCAGCAGUGAGGCUAUGAGUGAUAAGAUCCAUGGCCAAGAGGGAAACAGCCCAGAACGCCAGUUAAGGUCCCUAAUAUAUGCUAAGUGGUUAAGGAGGUAGAGUUACUGAGACAACCAGGAGGUUGGCUUAGAAGCAGCCAUCCCUUGAAAGAGUGCGUAAUAGCUCACUGGUCAAGUGACUCCGCGCCGAAAAUACACCGGGACUAAAGCAUAUAACCGAAGCUGCGUCAUAUAGUUUACUAUAUGGGUAGGGGAGCGUACUGUAGUAAGACGAAGCUAGAGUGAAAACACUAGUGGAUGAGGCAGUAGUGAGAAUGUCGGCAUAAGUAGCGAAAACAUUGGUGAGAAUCCAAUGCACCGAAAACCUAAGGUUUCCCACGGCAGGCUCGUCCGCGUGGGGUUAGUCGGAUCCUAAGCUCAGGCCAAACGGCGUAGGCGAUGGACAAUAGGUUGAUAUUCCUAUACUAUCUGAUAAUCGUUAUCAGAAGCGGAGGGACGCAAGAGGAUAAGCACGCAGUCGACUGGAAGAGACUGUAUAAGCGUGUAGCUAGGUUUGACAGGAAAAUCCGUCAAAUCGUUAAUGUGAGGCGUGAUGUGGAGAGUCUACGGACUCGAAGGUGUUGACUCCAAAUUGCCAAGAAAAUCUUCGCUCUCGAGAUUAUUGGGUAUCCGUACCGUAAACCGCCACAGGUAGGUUGGUAGAAAAUACUAAGGUGCGCGAGACAACUCUCGCUAAGGAACUCGGCAAAAUCACCUCGUAACUUCGGGAGAAGAGGUACCCUGGUAGCGUGAAGCGAUUUACUCGUGAAGCGUGAUAGGGUCGCAGUGAAUAGGCCCAAGCGACUGUUUACCAAAAACACAGGUCUCUGCUAAGUCGAUCAAGACGAUGUAUAGGGGCUGACGCCUGCCCGGUGUCGGAAGGUUACGCGGAAAUGUUAGAAGCAAUUCAAAGCAUCGAAGCUAAGCCCCGAUGAACGGCGGCCGUAACUAUAACGGUCCUAAGGUAGCGAAAUUCCUUGUCAGGUA
rnacentral:rRNA from 1 species